rnacentral:lncRNA from 1 species
GAUAAUAAAUAAUGAUUGCGCUGGCUUGCACACUGCACACAUGCAUUAAAAAUUUAAAUGUGCAUUCACAUAAUUACAAAUGUAUAUAUAUGGUCUUUAAAUAGAUUUCAGCAAAGCUUUUAAAAAAAAUGCCUUUAUAACAAAAUCUUAAAUAUUGAACGUAUUUGUAUUUGUAUAUAAUACAAAAAAUAUUAGAAAUAUAUAUUUUUCAAGAAAAAAA